rnacentral:rRNA from 1 species
AUGCACGCUGGCGGCGUGCCUCAUACAUGCAAGUCGAGCGCACAGACGAGGAGCUUGCUCCUUUGACGUUAGCGGCGGACGGGUGAGUAACACGUGGGUAACCUACCUAUAAGACUGGGAUAACUUCGGGAAACCGGAGCUAAUACCGGAUAAUAUUUCGAACCGCAUGGUUCGAUAGUGAAAGAUGGCUUUGCUAUCACUUAUAGAUGGACCUGCGCCGUAUUAGCUAGUUGGUAAGGUAACGGCUUACCAAGGCAACGAUACGUAGCCGACCUGAGAGGGUGAUCGGCCACACUGGAACUGAGACACGGUCCAGACUCCUACGGGAGGCAGCAGUAGGGAAUCUUCCGCAAUGGGCGAAAGCCUGACGGAGCAACGCCGCGUGAGUGAUGAAGGUCUUCGGAUCGUAAAACUCUGUUAUUAGGGAAGAACAAACGUGUAAGUAACUGUGCACGUCUUGACGGUACCUAAUCAGAAAGCCACGGCUAACUACGUG